UCGAAUCCACAGAGACCAAGUGUCAAUCUAUCGUUAUCUAUUGUUAUGGUGUUUAUCAAAGGCAAUCAAAAUAAGUGUUUUUGGAGUGUGCAAUGAAAAGUAAAGUGUUGAAUAAAGAUUAAUUAAUAAAGACAGGGUCGAAUGUAAUUCACAUAAUCAAUUGAUAAUCCAAGUACUUGCUAAUAGAGCUACUUAUGGGCAAU
rnacentral:lncRNA from 1 species